rnacentral:rRNA from 1 species
UGCAGUCGAGCGGAUGACAGGAGCUUGCUCCUGAAUUCAGCGGCGGACGGGUGAGUAAUGCCUAGGAAUCUGCCUGGUAGUGGGGGACAACGUUUCGAAAGGAACGCUAAUACCGCAUACGUCCUACGGGAGAAAGCAGGGGACCUUCGGGCCUUGCGCUAUCAGAUGAGCCUAGGUCGGAUUAGCUAGUUGGUGAGGUAAUGGCUCACCAAGGCGACGAUCCGUAACUGGUCUGAGAGGAUGAUCAGUCACACUGGAACUGAGACACGGUCCAGACUCCUACGGGAGGCAGCAGUGGGGAAUAUUGGACAAUGGGCGAAAGCCUGAUCCAGCCAUGCCGCGUGUGUGAAGAAGGUCUUCGGAUUGUAAAGCACUUUAAGUUGGGAGGAAGGGCAGUAACUUAAUACGUUGCUGUUUUGACGUUACCGACAGAAUAAGCACCGGCUAACUCUGUGCCAGCAGCCGCGGUAAUACAGAGGGUGCAAGCGUUAAUCGGAAUUACUGGGCGUAAAGCGCGCGUAGGUGGUUUGUUAAGUUGGAUGUGAAAUCCCCGGGCUCAACCUGGGAACUGCAUUCAAAACUGACAAGCUAGAGUAUGGUAGAGGGUGGUGGAAUUUCCUGUGUAGCGGUGAAAUGCGUAGAUAUAGGAAGGAACACCAGUGGCGAAGGCGACCACCUGGACUGAUACUGACACUGAGGUG